rnacentral:lncRNA from 1 species
UAUAUUUUCGGCAGUUGUAUAUCCUGUUUUUAGCUCGAAUUCAUCGAUUAGCAUGUUAAAUAAAAUCUGAAUUUGGAGCAUGCUGUAGUAAGUUAGAUUAAUUAUACAUGUUGGACUUGGAAUUGACUUAGGAGAAAACUAGUGCUUUUACACUGUCAUAUGUUAAAACUACCAGAUUUAGCUCUAGGAGCCGUAAUUUGUUUGUAUCACUGCAGUUUGAGGGCGGUGGAUACGCAGGAUAGUGUAGAUUGUAUUUAUGCUCGUGUUGGGAUGCGGAGCUUAGUUUUACAGCAAUGUUUAAGCUGUUCCGGACUGUCAGGUGCCGUUGAGGUUGACGAUGGACCCAGAUUACUGUUUUUGCAUUAGAUUAUGCCGAGGGCACGUGAGUUGGAU